rnacentral:rRNA from 1 species
UACGUAGGGUGCGAGCGUUGUCCGGAAUUAUUGGGCGUAAAGAGCUUGUAGGCGGUUUGUCGCGUCUGCUGUGAAAAUCCGGGGCUCAACCCCGGACUGCAGUGGGUACGGGCAGACUAGAGUGUGGUAGGGGAGACUGGAAUUCCUGGUGUAGCGGUGGAAUGCGCAGAUAUCAGGAGGACACCGAUGGCGAAGGCAGGACUCUGGC